rnacentral:rRNA from 1 species
UACGUAGGGGGCUAGCGUUGUCCGGAAUCAUUGGGCGUAAAGCGCGUGUAGGCGGCCCGGUAAGUCCGCUGUGAAAGUCCAGGGCUCAACCCUGGGAUGCCGGUGGAUACUGUCGGGCUCGAGUCCGGAAGAGGCGAGUGGAAUUCCUGGUGUAGCGGUGAAAUGCGCAGAUAUCAGGAGGAACACCAAUGGCGAAGGCAGCUCGCUGGGACGUGACUGACGCUGAGACGCGAAAGCGU